rnacentral:rRNA from 1 species
GAUGAACGCUAGCUACAGGCUUAACACAUGCAAGUCGAGGGGCAGCAUCAUCAAAGCUUGCUUUGAUGGAUGGCGACCGGCGCACGGGUGAGUAACACGUAUCCAACCUGCCGACAACACUGGGAUAGCCUUUCGAAAGAAAGAUUAAUACCGGAUGGCAUAGUUUUCCCGCAUGGGAUAAUUAUUAAAGAAUUUCGGUUGUCGAUGGGGAUGCGUUCCAUUAGGCAGUUGGCGGGGUAACGGCCCACCAAACCUACGAUGGAUAGGGGUUCUGAGAGGAAGGUCCCCCACAUUGGAACUGAGACACGGUCCAAACUCCUACGGGAGGCAGCAGUGAGGAAUAUUGGUCAAUGGACGAGAGUCUGAACCAGCCAAGUAGCGUGAAGGAUGACUGCCCUAUGGGUUGUAAACUUCUUUUAUACGGGAAUAAAGUGAGCCACGUGUGGCUUUUUGUAUGUACCGUAUGAAUAAGGAUCGGCUAACUCCGUGCCAGCAGCCGCGGUAAUACGGAGGAUCCGAGCGUUAUCCGGAUUUAUUGGGUUUAAAGGGAGCGUAGGCGGGUUGUUAAGUCAGUUGUGAAAGUUUGCGGCUCAACCGUAAAAUUGCAGUUGAUACUGGCGACCUUGAGUGCAACAGAGGUAGGCGGAAUUCGUGGUGUAGCGGUGAAAUGCUUAGAUAUCACGAAGAACUCCGAUUGCGAAGGCAGCUUACUGGAUUGUAACUGACGCUGAUGCUCGAAAGUGUGGGUAUCAAACAGGAUUAGAUA